rnacentral:lncRNA from 13 species
UAGUAUUUUCAGUUAAGACUGUUGGCUGUAGCCUUUCAGAUGAUGGUUAUGAUGGCUUCUUCAACUAGUCGGUCUGUUUCCAGUUUAUCCCUGAAGAUCACAGGCUCAGAAGAUUUGCCAUCAACGUGGGUUAAGAAUUACAUGGAACAGCAGAGGGCGCCCUGCUCCACGUUUCUAGGACUGUAAAGCAAGUACCUGCCCAAUCCUGCCACUUGGAACUUGUGUGAAUGACAGCCGGUAUGUGAGUGCCUGUAGGACUCAGUUUCCCCAUCUCCCACUCUUUCCUUCUGCCAAUCCAUCCCCCACACUGCAGAACAGAUCACGCCACCCUUCUGACAGCAACUCCUCUGUGACUUCCCUUCUCACUCAAAAAAUUCUCAAUUCCUUAACUAAGGCAGAGGAGGCCCCCACCCGAUCCUGCUCCUGCCAUCUCACUCCAUGAUCCAC